GACGAACGCUGGCGGCGUGCUUAACACAUGCAAGUCGAACGGUGAACUCCGCUUGCGGGGGGAUCAGUGGCGAACGGGUGAGUAACACGUGGGCAACCUGCCCUCAGCUCUGGGAUAACUCCAAGAAAUUGGGGCUAAUACCGGAUAUGACCGCUGACCGCAUGGUCUGGUGGUGGAAAGAUUUAUCGGCUGGGGAUGGGCCCGCGGCCUAUCAGCUUGUUGGUGGGGUAGUGGCCUACCAAGGCGACGACGGGUAGCCGGCCUGAGAGGGUGACCGGCCACACUGGGACUGAGACACGGCCCAGACUCCUACGGGAGGCAGCAGUGGGGAAUAUUGCGCAAUGGGCGAAAGCCUGACGCAGCGACGCCGCGUGGGGGAUGACGGCCUUCGGGUUGUAAACCUCUUUCAGCAGGGACGAAGCGAAAGUGACGGUACCUGCAGAAGAAGCACCGGCCAACUACGCG
rnacentral:rRNA from 1 species